UACGUAGGCGGAAAAUUAAGUCAGUAGUGAAAUCCUGCAGCUUAACUGUAGAACUGUUAUUGAUACUGGUUUUCUUGAAUUUAGUUGAGGUAGGCGGAAUGUGUAAUGUAGCGGUGAAAUGCUUAGAUAUUACACAGAACACCGAUUGCGAAGGCAGCUUACUAAACUAUGAUUGACGCUGAGGUACGAAAGCGUGGGGAGCGAACAUGAUUAGAUACCCUGGUAGUCC
rnacentral:rRNA from 1 species